CACUCCAGGCCAAUGGGAGCCACUGGGAGUCGCGAUUGGCCGAACCUGUGGACGCAUCAGGAGGAAGUAACUAAUGUCUUAAAGAGUGCUGGACAGACAGGUGGAUAGAUAUCCAUGCCAUGGGAACUUGUGCAGGGUAAAGUUGAACAAGAAAAUCACAGGAAAUCUAAUCAUGAAUAUGAGAGAAAAUGAAAAAAAUGAAAGAGAAGGAACCAUCCCCUUUGACAAUUUGCCAGCCUGAGAAUGAGCCGUGAGUCAGCCACGUGAUGUAUAAGAUACCAACAUCUCAAC